UACGGAGGGUGCGAGCGUUGUUCGGAAUCACUGGGCGUAAAGCGCGUGUAGGCGGUCUGUUAAGUCUGAUGUGAAAGCCCGGGGCUCACCCCCGGAAGUGCAUUGGAAACUGACAGACUGGAGUCCCGGAGAGGAGGGUGGAAUUCCUGGUGUAGCGGUGAAAUGCGUAGAGAUCCGGAGGAACACCGCAGGCGAAGGCAGUCUCCUGGGAAGUACCUGACGCUGAGGCGCGAAAGCCAGGGGAGCGAACGGG
rnacentral:rRNA from 1 species